CCCCCACCAACCCGGCGACAGGAGCUCUUCCAGGCUUCCCACACACGCAUCCAUUUGCCAGCGAGGGAAAAGCUGGCAGGGGGUUCGUGGGGAUCUAGGAAGCCGAGUGAAGAGGUGGCAGCCUCCAGACCCAGUCAGGCAGCUGGAGGGAAAUGCCCAUCAAUGCACCACGCUAAAGGAGCCAAUAGGUGUUGUGCUGAUCCUGCCCCCAGGGUUCACUGGAUUGCAUCAUUGACAGGAUGGGAGAAAAUUGUCCUUGAACACAAGUAUGCUGAAGACGCCUUAAGGCUGCCUCACUAUGAGGAACAGAUUGGAUGAAAGGAACAUCAUGAGGAUACAGUAGAUCAAAGAGGUUGCUGGGUGUAAGUCUUUCAUCAGCCAGUAGGAUGUGAAUUUGAAGAGACAUUUGACGGACUGAAGAAGCUGAUGUAAUCCAUAG